GCCGGGCGUGGUGGAGCACGCCUGUAGUCUCAGCUACUUGGGAGGCUGAGGCAGGAGAAUUGCUUGAACCUGGGAGGUGGAGUUUGCAGUGAGCCGAGAUUGCACCACUGCACUCCAGCCUGGGUGACAGAGCGAGACUCUGUCUCAA
rfam:Pan troglodytes isolate Yerkes chimp pedigree #C0471 (Clint) chromosome X, whole genome shotgun sequence.